GGUUAAAAGUUACUGACUUGUUGCUGGUUGUGUCCCCUUCGUGCUGUGAUCAGGCUGAAGAAGGUUGAGCACAUGCGAUCAGACACUUGUCUCCCCUCAGGGCUGUGAGUGGUCGCAGAAGCUGAUGCACAUGCAAGGAUCUGAGGACACAUCUGCUGUCGAUGUCAUGAUUUUCUUCUCCAACUCUGUGGAAUAAAAGUACAUUCAAGAAGUUCCAAGGGACAUCUUUCAAGAACAAGUGAAAUAUUUUACUGGAGGAAGUCGGACUAAUUGUCGUCUGACUGCAGUUAAAGUCGUCCAUCAUGGUCAAGCGAUAACGAGGGCCGAGAUUUAGAAUCACGUUUCACCAGUCAACCAUCCCACGAGUAUAGCAGUGCUCGUCAGCUUACACAUCCACUAGUAC
rnacentral:lncRNA from 1 species